UUCCCCUUUUCGAACGGAGGGGCGCGGGGGUGGGGGCUGCCGCGGAAGGUGCUGCAACGUGCGUUUCUUUUCUUCUUCUUCGAAAACCGACCCAGGCCAGCCGCUUAGAGCGCUCUUGUUUCGUCUAUCUUUGGUAUUUCGAAGAAGGGAGGAGAAACAUAGUGUCAUCAUGGCAACGCCGCGGAAGGAGGGAAACCACAUCAGCUGAAGCGCAUCAUGCUCACUUCCUGCGACUGCAGAGAGAGAGAGAGAGAGAGAGAGCGGUGCUUUUCAACAACUUUAAAUGGCGCCUGGGUUCUUUCUCUGAACACUGCUCCACGUACCGUUUACUCAGGUUUUAAAGGAAUUGGCAGCCCAUGUGAGAUAUAUAACAGUCAUGAAAGCAGGAGAGUGCAAUUGGAUGCCAGGCAGGUGGAGGGAAAUUCACAGCCAAAGGAAGGCCGAGAGUGAGUCCUGAUGCCUUGAUGCCAAACCCUUCUGCCCAACGCUGUCAGCCCAGCAAGAGGUCCAAGCAGACAUAGGCCCUGCAAACAGGUGAUGUUUCUGAGUUAUUCACAUAGGAGGACCUGGGAAAACACUAGAAGAAGCUAGAAUGAAAAACUGAAAGAGAAGCAGAGAUAAAGAAUACGAAGCAGCUGGGCUCUGAAGAUGGAGGCGCCAAAUGGGGUUAAAAGGCCACAACAUUCACUGCUCACGUUUGGCAACGUAGCGGCUCGGAGAGAAAAAUUGUCGACCCGGUGUUCUGGUCAAGGUCAUUGUAACUUUUUUGCGUGUGCUUUAUCUGGGAACGUUGCUGCUUUUAGUCCACGCUAAAGCCUCGGUGGAAGAUUUCCGUAAAAUUUUUACCGGGACGUGAUCUGGCAAAUUGGUAAAAAAAACGUCUUACGUGGAAAAUCUACUCCUGCUUCCGUUCACACGCGGUGCUGACAUGGAAAAUGUGCUGGAACAUUAACAGGUUAACCUCCUCUGGAAAGUACAACUGCACUGUCUGACAAGCUCAUUCUUAACCUUGCCCAUGAGGUCAUGGACGACCCCUCCCAUCCAUUAUUCGACCGUUACGGACUGUUGCCAUAAGGACGAAGACACCAGACGCCAUCAACACAAAAACAGAAAGAGCACUCACCUCCUUCAUUCCUAAGAGUGUCACUCUCUUGAACAAAUGUCUCCCAGUGCAAUGUCCCUAAUGUGAAUGCUGGUUCUACCUUUGUGCAUUUCAGUUUGUAUCUCUUUAUUUCCCUCGUAUGCUUUCAUGUAUGACUUGUUUGUGAUUACUGUCUGUUAUUGUGACUUUGUUAUGUGUUUAUUGUAUCGCUCAUUGUGUGCAAGCAAAAUUCCCUUCGGGGCAAUAAAGGUUUUCAUUUAUUAAGAAGCACGUGUUGCUACUGGGGGCUACUGAGACGGUGCUGUCUGUAAAAUGCAAACAGAUGCAUCUAAUGUGAAAUUUUCCCAAGGCACUUUUUACCCCCACACCUCCCCCAAAUCCUUGAUCUUUCCUUGCCUCAUUGUGUGUUGCUCUCAAAGUGGGGCCGUGACUAAAUUAAUCCCAUUAGUGGGGAUCUCAUUUUCAUUUUACGAAAAGAAGGUUAGAAUUAAGGGACAAUUACCAGUCGCAAACAAAGCACUGAGCCAAUACGGUCACUAUUCAUUUCCUUAUCUGAGUGCUGUUUUGCGAUCUCUGGGCCCAAAAGUGACUUCAUUAAUCUGAAACUUCACAUUCUGUCCAUUCAUUCCAGUGGCAGAGAUGAGUCAGACCGAACUGUUUACC